rnacentral:rRNA from 1 species
CACGGGGGGAGCAAGCGUUGUUCGGAAUCACUGGGCGUAAAGGGCGUGUAGGCGGUCAAGUAAGUGGAAUGUGAAAGCCCCCGGCUUACCCGGGGAUCUGCAUCCCAAACUGCUUGGCUUGAGUACGGGAGAGGAUAGGGGAAUUCCUGGUGUAGCGGUGAAAUGCGUAGAUAUCAGGAGGAACACCGGUGGCGAAGGCGCCUAUCUGGCCCAAUACUGACGCUGAGGCGCGAAAGCUAGGGGAGCAAACGGG